GAUGAACGCUGGCGGCGUGCCUAACACAUGCAAGUCGAACGAAAACACAGUGAGAGUUCGCCUUUGAGGGUAGCGACUGGCGGGCGGGUGAGGAGUAGAUAGGCUACCUCUUUUUCGUGGGGGAUAUCGUAGAGCAACAUCCGCUACUACCGCAUACGACCAACGGCUGACUGCAGGAGAUAUUCGCACCUUUCGCGUCUGACUGAGCCGGUGUCGGAUCAGCUCGUUGGCGGGGUAAAGGCACACCAAGGCAACGAUCCGUAGCUGGUCUGAGAGGAUGAUCGGCCACACUGGAACUGAGACACGGUCCAGACUCCUACGGGAGGCAGCAGUCGGGAAUAUUGCGCAAUGGGCGAAAGCCUGAUGCAGCAAAACCGCGUGAGUGAUGAAGGUCUUCGGGUUGUAAAACCCUGUUGUUAGGGAAGAAAAACAGCAUAUGUAUAUACGGAUGUCCUGACGGUACCUAAAGAGAAAGCACCGGCUAACUACGUG
rnacentral:rRNA from 1 species